rnacentral:tRNA from 1 species
GUGCCUGUAACUCAGUCCGGAUAGAGUACCUGGCUACGGACCAGGGUGUCGCAGGUUCGAAUCCUGCCAGGCACGCCA